rnacentral:rRNA from 1 species
AAUAUGUGGCAUACGGCUCAGUAACACGUAGUCAACAUGCCCAGGGGACGUGGAUAACCUCGGGAAACUGAGGAUAAACCGCGAUAGGUCAUCACUUCUGGAAUGGGUAAUGACUUAAAUCUAUAUGGCCCCUGGAUUGGACUGCGGCCGAUCAGGCUGUUGGUGAGGUAAUGGCCCACCAAACCUGUAACCGGUACGGGCUCUGAGAGGAGGAGCCCGGAGAUGGGCACUGAGACAAGGGCCCAGGCCCUAUGGGGCGCAGCAGGCGCGAAACCUCUGCAAUAGGCGAAAGCUUGACAGGGUUACUCUGAGUGAUUUCCGUUAAGGAGAUCUUUUGGCACCUCUAAAAAUGGUGCAGAAUAAGGGGUGGGCAAGUCUGGUGUCAGCCGCCGCGGUAAUACCAGCACCCCGAGUGGUCGGGACGUUUAUUGGGCCUAAAGCAUCCGUAGCCGGUUCUACAAGUCUUCCGUUAAAUCCACCUGCUUAACAGAUGGGCUGCGGAAGAUACUAUAGAGCUAGGAGGCGGGAGAGGCAAGCGGUACUCGAUGGGUAGGGGUAAAAUCCGUUGAUCCAUUGAAGACCACCAGUGGCGAAGGCGGCUUGCCAGAACGCGCUCGACGGUGAGGGAUGAAAGCUGGGGGAGCAAACCGGAUUAGAUACCCGGGUAGUCCCAGCUGUAAAC